CCUACGGGGGGCUGCAGUGGGGAAUAUUGGACAAUGGGGGCAACCCUGAUCCAGCCAUGCCGCGUGUGUGAAGAAGGCCCUCGGGUUGUAAAGCACUUUCAGUGAGGAAGAACGCCUGGUGGUUAAUACCCAUCAGGAAAGACAUCACUCACAGAAGAAGCACCGGCUAACUCCGUGCCAGCAGCCGCGGUAAUACGGAGGGUGCGAGCGUUAAUCGGAAUUACUGGGCGUAAAGCGCGCGUAGGUGGCUUGAUAAGCCGGUUGUGAAAGCCCCGGGCUCAACCUGGGAACGGCAUCCGGAACUGUCAAGCUAGAGUGCAGGAGAGGAAGGUAGAAUUCCCGGUGUAGCGGUGACAUGCGUAGAGAUCGGGAGGAAUACCAGUGGCGAAGGCGGCCUUCUGGACUGACACUGACACUGAGGUGCGAAAGCGUGGGUAGCAAACAGGAUUAGAUACCCGGGUAGUC
rnacentral:rRNA from 1 species